rnacentral:rRNA from 1 species
GCUCCAAUAGCGUAUAUUAAAGUUGUUGCAGUUAAAAAGCUCGUAGUUGGAUUUGUGGGUGGAGCGAGCGUCCGACGCUUAGCGUGGGUGAUGGUCGUCUCCGUCCAUCUUUGGGUGGAAUCCGUGUGGCAUUAAGUUGUCGUGCGGGGGAUGCCAUCUUUUACUGUGAAAAAAUUAGAGUGUUCAAAGCAGCUUACGCC